rnacentral:rRNA from 1 species
AGCCUUAGGUAAAUAUCUAAGGUUUGACCUGCCCAAUGUACAGAAUUAAGUAUCAACAAUAAAUGGCCGCGGUACUUUGACCGUGCUAAGGUAGCGUAAUCAGUUGGCUCUUAAUUGGGGUCAGGAAUGAAUGGAGUUACGGGGCUUUACUGUCUUUUUACUAAUACCUUGAAGUUACUAUGUAAGUGAAAAAGCUUAUACCUAGAAAAAGGACGAGAAGACCCUUAGAGUUUUAUUAAACUAUAAAUUAUUAUUUAUAUCAUUUUGGUUGGGGCAACUUGGGAUGCAAUAUAUUUAAUAAUCUCUCUAAUAUUACACACCGAUUAUAUUAAAUUUGGAUAAACUACCUUAGGGAUAACAGCAUUAUUUUAUAUUGAAGUUUGUGACCUCGAUGUUGGACUAGGAAACUGAAAGGCUAGCCGUCUUUCGGGAAAGUUCUGUUCGAACUAUUAUUCCU